UUGAAAACGGUGAUGAGGACAGUAAUUUUUGUCAAUAUGUAUUCAGAGAGGGAUAUGGUGCUGUGAUUAUCCUUGCAUGACAACUAUGAAAACCACCUCUGAGUGGCUUUAAUAAAGCACGGUUUGCUCCGUUAAAGGCUGACAAGUGGCACUUUUAUGUGCAAUUUGGGUGGAACCACGGUUAUUAUCGUCCCUGCU
rnacentral:ncRNA from 1 species